rnacentral:rRNA from 1 species
UAGCUAUUUAGGUUAGAGUUUGAUCCUGGCUCAGAGCGAACGCUGGCGGCAGGCUUAACACAUGCAAGUCGAGCGGGCGUAGCAAUACGUCAGCGGCAGACGGGUGAGUAACGCGUGGGAACAUACCUUUUGGUUCGGAACAACCCAGGGAAACUUGGGCUAAUACCGGAUAAGCCCUUACGGGGAAAGAUUUAUCGCCGAAAGAUUGGCCCGCGUCUGAUUAGCUAGUUGGUGAGGUAACGGCUCACCAAGGCGACGAUCAGUAGCUGGUCUGAGAGGAUGAUCAGCCACAUUGGGACUGAGACACGGCCCAAACUCCUACGGGAGGCAGCAGUGGGGAAUAUUGGACAAUGGGCGCAAGCCUGAUCCAGCCAUGCCGCGUGAGUGAUGAAGGCCCUAGGGUUGUAAAGCUCUUUUGUGCGGGAAGAUAAUGACGGUACCGCAAGAAUAAGCCCCGGCUAACUUCGUGCCAGCAGCCGCGGUAG